rnacentral:rRNA from 1 species
CGCGUAGGCGGUUUACACAGUCAGAUGUGAAAUUCCAGGGCUUAACCUUGGGGCUGCAUUUGAUACGUGUAGACUAGAGUGUGAGAGAGGGUUGUGGAAUUCCCAGUGUAGAGGUGAAAUUCGUAGAUAUUCGGAGGAACACCGGUGGCGAAGGCGACUUACUGGUCCAUUACUGACGCUGAGGCGCGAAAGCGUGGGGAGCAAACAGGAUUAGAUACCCGUGUA